rnacentral:lncRNA from 1 species
CCUGAGAUGGCUCAUGGCUGAGUCGCUGAGCGGCCGUGACUCAGCCAGUUUCCGCCCUGGCUGUCUGUCUGUCCGUCAGUCGGUCUGUCUGGGAGUCUGCCUCCUCCGAGGGCACUGGUGGGAGAUUCCAGUCAGCCGUGUUCCCGCUGGGAAGUGGAAAGCUCAGGAAGAAAUUCAAACACAUCUCUCCGUUACACUUCACUGUAACCCGGUGUUUCUUUAUGAUCGAAGCCAGGUAAGUAAGGCCAAGCGCGAGCACUUGCUCAGCUCUAUUGGGCAACAGAGCCAUGGCCCUCUGCUUCGGGAAUCGGGGUUCUUCAGCACUGCCCAUGUCCCUCGGGGCCCCCAAACCGGGCUGGAGCUGUCUUCCGUGAGCCCUGGCCCGCCCUGGUGCGCUCCUCCCUCCGUGGACUCACAUUCAUGAAUCUGAAGACGACGACGGCAGCUUCUAACUGCCCAGUUACACAUGAACUCGAGGAGGUCCCAGCUGUCUCCGAGUGAGGUAGCUGCUGUUUCCUUGGGGCAAAACCUUCCAGUCAGACCUUAGGGGAGGGACUUGAGCCACUUCUGCCUCGGAGCUGGCUCCCAAAUGCGGGUGAAUGUUCACACACACACACAGACAGACACACACACAGACACGCACACUCAAGCAGCCUCCGGGUUUCUCUUGCUGUCAGGCCCCAGGAGGCUGAGGUGGAGCUCUGGAGCGCAGCCUCAUGGUCCACAUCCAGCGUGGGGUCCCUGUCAGUCUACAGCUGCGACCCGUAAGCCGCAGGGGUGGACGCUGUUAGGAGGAUCUGGUGUGAAGAUGCCUCUUGCCCUUCGCAGUGAC